rnacentral:rRNA from 1 species
AUUGAACGCUGGCGGCAGGCCUAACACAUGCAAGUCGAGCGGAGCGGCGGACGGGUGAGUAAUGCCUGGGAAUCUGACUGGUAGUGGGGGACAACGUCCGGAAACGGGCGCUAAUACCGCAUACAAUCAGAUAAGCCUAGGUGGGAUUAGCUAGUUGGUGGGGUAAGGGCCUACCAAGGCGACCAUCCGUCACUGGUUUGUGAGGAUGAUCAGCCACACUGGAACUGAGACACGGUCCAGACUCCUACGGGAGGCAGCAGUGGGGAAUAUUGGACAAUGGGCGAAAGCCUGAUCCAGCCAUGCCGCGUGUGUGAAGAAGGUCUUCGGGUUGUAAAGCACUUUAAGUUGGGAGGCGUUACCAGCAGAAUAAGCACCGGCUAACUUCGUGCCAGCAGCCGCGGUAAUAC